rnacentral:lncRNA from 1 species
AGCCUACUACGUGCAGAGGCUUGUCCGAGGGGCCGGGAAUGGAGAGCGGGGCCAUGAGGGACACGGGUCCCCGAAGAGAGAAGAAAGACCAGUCUAUUGCAGAGCAACGCCAAGGGCCGAGACAGAAGUGGUACUUGCCCUACAGGGUCUUUCUACUGCCUCUCCUUCCUCCUGUUGUAAAUUCAAAUUUCCAGGAAAUCCAAAAGGAUACAGUGAGCCAACAGCUACUUUGUCUCCUCCAAGGGAAAACAAAUUGGUUUCCAUCACUGGCCAGCAGAGCCAGUUUACAGGACCAGGAUGAUAUCCAUAGUGUGCAUCUCUACAACCACCGCAGAACACCUCUCACUAAUUUUCACAAGGAUCCUCAACUUUUUCUUUCAUUUUCCAUUUGAUCUCCUGGAUGAUGCUUCUGUUUGAAAAUAUAGAAUUAAGACCCCUUCUGGGCAAAAUUGUGAAGCAGAGGAAGGAAAGGAAAAAGGAACGUGGAUUGAGAGGACCUGCCAAGUACCAGGUACUGCUUUUUGUUACAUCCAUUGUUUCAUCUAAUCUUUAAAACUGAUCUCAAAUGUAGGUAUUAAUUUCCUUUUACAUAACAGAGAGACAAGACUCAAUUUUAGAGCACUCGUGGUUGGUCUGCUCCUCCAUUCCACUGCAAAGUUGCCCCUCCUGUCGCUGUAUCAUCUUGGCU